UCACAUUCCCAAUUCAAAGACUCUUGCAUGAGCCUGUGUCCAGGACACGACAACAACUCACUUGCUCUGGUUGCCUACACAACCUCAAUUUAUGUUCCUCUCAGUCCCUUGAGUGUGCUCUCCUACUACCCUUGCCCUCUUUUUCUGUUAAACUCUUAGGUCACAGUGGUCCUCUCUGACCUCUCCCUCUCACAGCACCAUGUCCCCUCCCUUUGCAGAGCUGGUCUCAAUGCACCCAAUUCCCACUCAUUAGCUGAUUGCCACCACAGUCUGUGCUGGGCAGAGUAAUUCACCCCAGGGCAUCCCAGGCGUGGUGACUCAGGUACUGUUUGGGAGCAGCCCAUCGUCACCUUUGAGAAUUUCUCUGAGAGAAAGACUGAACACAAGCAGGGGAGAGGCAGAGAG